UUGGACAGCUACAUUAGAAAAUGACGCAACGGACUGUAGCACUAACUUUGUCUCAUUUCCCGUCAGGAAACAACACUAGCAGUUCAAAUUUUCCGCUAGAAGCUGCCAACUCUGCGAAAGGAACCACCGCUCUGCAAUUACUAGGGAAUACUUAAAGAGAAAGCACGAUUUCUGAAAUACCGAUAAACAAAUGUCGAGGAACAAACCCGCGUAUACCAGAUUUGGCGUUACGGGGUGGCAUUUUCGCAAUUUCUCGGCACCAGCGUUAUGAUAAAACGAGAGGAAGAAACAGAACACGCCCGCUCCCGUAACAGUUUUGCAAGAGCGCCUCAAAGAACUUAAAACAGGAUUUCUUCUGACGGGAGUUCUCCGUCCCCGAUGCGGCACUUGGGACAGCUCCAGAAGUUAAAAUACCAUCGGGAGAACGCGCCCUGCGCGCUCCUCACCGCCCCUCCCGCUCCCCCGUGCCGGCAGCGGCGCGGGAAGGAUGCGGGGCGGCAGCAGCCACUGCCCGUCUCGGCAGAGCCCGCAGCCGCUGCAGGAGCGGACGCUUCGCCCCGGGGUCCGCCGGCAGCUCCCUGCGGCGGGCACGCCCGGUGAGGGACAGCGGGCUGCAGCGGGCUGGCAGCCGGCCCCGGGCUGCUCCCAGGCUCUGCCCGAGGCUGCGCUGACAGCUAGGCGGGGCAGGAGGGAAAGUGCCCCGCACAGCGCCGGGCGUGCGGAGGGCGUCCCGCGCUGCCCCUUCUCCUCCCCGCUCCGCUGACACCGCCGGGGCGAGGGGCGCCCUGCCCGGCGCUCCGCGGCCACCUGCCCGUCCGCCCGCCCGUCCGCCCCCUCCGACGCCGCGGGGCGAGCGAGCCGCCGCCGUACCUGCAGGACACGGAGAGCUCCACCUUGGUGGCCGGAAUGCUGGAGCUGAGCACGUUAAAAUCCCCCACGGACGCCAUCUUCGGCAGCCCACCGCUCCUGCCCGGCUUCUGCUGCCCCGCCGGCUUCUCCACCCCGAACAUGGGGCAGCGCGGCGCGGGCGGGAAGGAGGGACGGAGGGAAGAGGCGGCGCUAAGCGGCCUCCACAGCGCGGCGCCGCCACCCGCGGCGCGGAGCCCCGUGAGCGCGGAGCCCCGGCCCGCAGCGCCCCGCACCGCCCCGCACCCGCGGGCUGCGGCCGCUGGCGGGAGCGGCGGGGCGGGAGCGGGGCGGUGACGUCACCGCGAGCGGGAGCCGCGCGUGACCGCCCCGGGCGCGGGGAGCCCGACGGCAGCAGCGAGGGCGCGGAGCGGAGCCCUCGGGGGGAAACGGCACCAAAGGGUGCGUGGCGGGGAAGGGCGCCGGUGGAGGCAGAGCCGGGGGAACGGUCCCGAGCGAUUUCGCUCCCGCGCCUCCCCCGUCUCUUCCCCUUUGGCCCCUGUACGGAAACUCCCGUCCAGUCCCGUCCCGUUCCGCAGGCUGUCCGGGGAACCCCCUCCUCCUGCGUUUGUGAGUGAGCGGCUCCGCACGCGGGAUGCGGCAGCUGCGGACAGUGCGGGCGGGCCGCGCCCCCGCCGGUGACGUCCCAAACUUCAGCGCCCUGCGGCGAGGCGGCUUAAUUUUCCCGGGACCGGGAAGACAAACGCGCCCCGGCAGGAACGCGCGGAGCGUUUGCGGGGACCGACGGCGCGACAUGGACGGGGCUGCGGGGCGGGCCCUGCGCCGCCAGAGGGCGCGGCCGAGCGGCCCCGCGCGGCGGGGCGGGACGAUGCUCCACCGGGAGUCACCGGGAAAGGGAAACACCCCAAUGCCCAUGGCCCUCGGAGAGCCAACAGCAGCUACAGCUGCAAAAGACUGGAGGGGAAAGAGAUGGGUUUACCUUGGUUACUUCGUGCACUGACAUAGGAAAAACUAGAAUUUCGCUCUCUCGCACGUGUGUAGGCUCUUUCCUUUCUUUUUCAAGACCACCAGUUCAGUUGCCCUGAGCCUGUUCAUAAUGAUUUACAAUAAAUGCAAAAGCUCCAUCAUCUUA